UCUUAAAUUUCACUUCUUUGUCUGUUCUCUCACGUUUUUUUCCCUUCAUUUUAUAGCCUGUCAAACAAGAUUUCUGACAAAUUCACAACGAUUGAAUACUGUUUUGCAGUCUUCACUGCUGUCACUAAUGACUUCUACUGUACAUAUUCUUCAGUGUUUCCUGUUAGAUUCACAAGCUUUAUAGCAUAUAGCCUUGUUGCUGCUCCACUGGCUGCUGUGUCAAUAGGUAAAUAAUUCCUAUAACUGUAUAAUGUAAACAUAUAAUGUAUGUAAUGCUUAUGGAAUUAUAUUCAGUUUUAUGAUG
rnacentral:lncRNA from 1 species